rnacentral:rRNA from 1 species
GACGAACGCUGGCGGCGUGCCUAAUACAUGCAAGUCGAACGCAGUGGGGACGGGUGAGUAACACGUGGGUAACCUCCCAUCAGAGGGGAUAACACUUGGAAACAGGUGCUAAACCGAUACUGAUGGAUGGCCCCGCGGUGCAUUAGCGAGUUGGUGAGGUAACGGCUCACCAAGGCCACGAUGCAUAGCCGACCGGAGAGUGGGAUCGGCCAAACUUGGACUGAGACACCGCCCAGACUCCUACGGGAGGUAGCAGUAGUGAAUCGUCGGCAAAGGACGAAAGUCUGACCGAGCAACGCCGCGGGAGUGAAGAAGGUGUUCGGAUCGUAAAACUCUGUUGUUAGAGAAGCGGUAUCUAACCAGAAAGCCACGGCUAACUACGUGCCAGCAGCCGCGGUAAUUC